rnacentral:rRNA from 1 species
CGCCCAUUAAAGCGGUACGCGAGCUGGGUUCAGAACGUCGUGAGACAGUUCGGUCCCUAUCCGUCGUGGGCGUAGGAAAUUUGAGAGGAGCUGUCCUUAGUACGAGAGGACCGGGAUGGACAUACCUCUGGUGUACCAGUUGUCGUGCCAACGGCAUAGCUGGGUAGCUAUGUGUGGACGGGAUAAGUGCUGAAAGCAUCUAAGCAUGAAGCCCCCCUCAAGAUGAGAUUUCCCAACUUCGGUUAUAAGAUCCCUCAAAGAUGAUGAGGUUAAUAGGUUCGAGGUGGAAGCAUGGUGACAUGUGGAGCUGACGAAUACUAAUCGAUCGAAGACUUAAUCAAAA